AGCUUUGCGCAGAGGCAGUACCUCAAGCAAUGAAGGUUAUCCUGAGCUGAGGUUAUUGCUAGUUGAAAACUAAACCCAAUACCCCGCCAAUUCGACUCCAUGAGGGUCGGGUUCGGCAAUUUUUGGAGGCCAUCACAGGC